UGCUCGCCAAGGUUUCUUAAUAGUGUAAUUCUCUAGAAAUGACCUAUCAAGUAUGACGAUGCUUGUUGCUCAUGAUCUGCAUUUUAUUCUGCUUCUGUUCUUCCUUUCCUGACACAGGUCUGGGCAACUGAGACCACAGUGAUACUUAGUGGUCAGGCUGCAAUUUUGGCUAGCUUAGUGAGACACCAUUCUUCUUCAACAACUGUGGUGACUCUGUGGUAUGCAUGAUGAAAAAGUAAAGAAAUGGAAAGACACGAUAGAAAUUUUCAUGCAAAGUUAAUACGUGGUACUGAACACACUCCAUUGUAUCUCAGAAGGAAUCCACAGAUAAUGAUGAAUCAGCACAAACAAUUUCACAUGGAAACAUUAGAAAAGUCAUUGUAUUUUCCUUGUUCU
rnacentral:lncRNA from 1 species